AUAAAAAGAAAACGUCCCGGCUUCUCCUCAGUGUCCCGCAGCCGUUAUGGCGGCUUCCUUGAGGGGUGGCUCCCUAUCUCUUUCCUCUCCCCCCCCCUUCCCCACCCAAGAAGUCCUAUUGGGUCCCAAACAUUUUGUGCGGGGGGGGAAAUUAGGCCUGGACCUCCUUGGAUAAAUUAUCCGGAGUACCUUGGCACCCCAAACGUUCCUCUCUCCCCACAAAACAGGGGGGCUCUAAUUUAAUUUUUUCAACAGGCUCUCUGCUACUUCCCAUCUUUGUUUUUUUUUUUUUUUAAAAAAAACCCUUUUAAAACCCCAACAACGUCCUGGGAGAAUUUUUUUCAUCGCUGUCGGGCCUCGAACUGGAGUGCCAAGGUUUGUUUUCAGUAACCAGGAGAGCCAAACACCUCUGUCAUUCACGCAGAAGGGAUUGCUGUUGCGAACGUUUUUAUUAGCCAGCGCAUGUGUUGUGAAUAUAUAGUUCCUUUAUGGUGCCAUAUAGCCGACUGGCAAGUGAUUAUUUACAACCUAUGUUGGCAGGCAGGUGUCCAGGGGUUUCUGGACUCACGAGGCACCUCCGAACAUCUGGAACAGUAUAAGCACUUCAUCGUCGUUCGUAAAGCUGCCGACACGAAAAGGAGUGGCCAGUGUACCAUUAACAACAUUCAGGGUAAAAUAUCAAUAUUGAUACCAUCCUUUGCCAGUGCACUGUUUAGUUUCUUAGUACAAUUCAGUUAUGCUUUAAAGGAAAAAAAAUUCUUCAACUUUUUUGAGGAAACAGAACGGCUUUUAUCAGUUUCCAUAUGUGUGGCAUGAGUGUAUACAGAUAUAUAGAGCCUGGUGUGAAAAUUGAUCCUUUUGUUCAGCAUGAAUAAAUCAUCAAUGGAAGCAACAUUCCAGAGUUGUAACAAGCAAUUAAAAAAAAAGACUUUAAAAUGAA